rnacentral:lncRNA from 1 species
CUUAUUUAUUAGAAAUGAGAAAGAAAAAUUCUUUUCAUUCUGGUUUGUUUUCUGUUUUCCUUAUUUCAAAAUUAUGCAAUUUCGUCAAUAUGUAAAUGAACAAAUUUAACAAGGUUGAUACAUCCAUUUAUGAUGCAUCAAUUUUUUUUGAGUAAGUAUGAUGAUGGUGUAUAAAACUUACUUAUUAGUACUUUUUACAGUAGUGACACUGUAAUGUAACAAUAUCUUUUUUUAAAUGUGACAUCCGGCCUUGUGAUAAAUGGUAUAAAAAUACAUCACCUGUUGUUGUUGAUCAUAUUGUUAUCAAUUCAAUAUAUGACUUUGUAAUUGCGAUUUUGUGCGUUUUCUAGAUUCUUCAAACACGGGGAAUCCCUAGUUAGAUAGUGUAGCGUAAUCUGAACUGCCAUUUAUAUCCCUCUGGCCCGAUUAUAGAGCCAUUAUAUAAUCGGGCCAGGGGAUUGUAUGGAUAGUGUAGCCGCCUUUUUAUAACCCCCUGGCCGAUUACUUGCCAUACGGUACUAUCGAAAUUUCGCAAGAAAUACUUACCUAUAUUUUUUCUAAUAUAUAAAUACAGCAGUUUAAAUAGGCUCAUUGAUCUGGCAAACGAUAAUAGUAUUUGCAAAAGGAUUUCAUGAAUUCCAUAUAACAGGAUAUAAAAUGGCCGAUUUGGCGGCAUCUGGUGGCGCAAAGAAUUGCGUUAUUCUUUCUAUCCAGAAACUCUAACGGGAAGGUUUAAGAUAGAAUAGUAUUUUAGAAUGAAAAUAUAAAUGGAUAUGUUUCUCUAUAUUUAAACGAUAUUGCUAUAAAAAUAUUUCAGGAUUUUAUACAGUAUCACAGUUAAGUAACAAAAAUCUGAAAGACUCUUGCGUUGUGCGAAUGCCACAUUUUAAAUUGUGUUACGAAUCAUGCAAUUCUGUCGAGAUCAUUACGGCAAAAUGCUAAUCACGUUUGGCACCGCCUAUAAGAUAGAUAUGGUAGAAAAAUCUCAAGUCAAUCUAUAUUUUCUGAGAUUUAUGGCUGUCAUAAACACGCUGUCAUUGUCUUUUAUCACUAAUAGAUUAAAUAUCAAUAUAUCUAACAUUAAAAAACGUAUUAAAUUUUGUUUAUAAUCAUUAUAUAAUAUCUAAUAUACUGUAGACUCUCGAUUAUCCAGAUUUUUUAAUCGGAUUAAUCUGUAAUCGGAAAAUGGAAAUUAAUUAUCGAUGUUUUAUUUUUCAAGCAC